rnacentral:rRNA from 1 species
UGGCUCAGAUUGAACGCUGGCGGCAGGCUUAACACAUGCAAGUCGAGCGGUAACAGGAAGAAGCUUGCUUCUUUGCUGACGAGCGGCGGACGGGUGAGUAAUGCCUAGGAAUCUGCCUAAUAGUGGGGGAUAACUUGCCGAAAGGUAAGCUAAUACCGCAUAGCGUCCUACGGGAGAAAGGAGGGGACUCUUCGGAGCCUUUCGCUAUUANAUGAGCCUACGUCGGAUUGGUUAGUUGGCGAGGUAAUGGCUCACCAAGACCGCGAUCCGUAACUGGUCUGAGAGGAUGAUCAGUCACACUGGAACUGAGACACGGUCCAGACUCCUACGGG